rnacentral:rRNA from 1 species
GACGAACGCUGGCGGCGUGCUUAACACAUGCAAGUCGAACGGUAAGGCCCUUCGGGGUACACGAGUGGCGAACGGGUGAGUAACACGUGGGUGAUCUGCCCUGCACUUCGGGAUAAGCCUGGGAAACUGGGUCUAAUACCGGAUAGGACCACUGCCUGCAUGGGUGGUGGUGGAAAGCUUUUGCGGUGUGGGAUGGGCCCGCGGCCUAUCAGCUUGUUGGUGGGGUGAUGGCCUACCAAGGCGACGACGGGUAGCCGGCCUGAGAGGGUGACCGCCACCAGUGGGACUGAGAUACGGCCCAGACUCCGAGGGGAGGCAGCAGUGGGGAUAAUUGCAAAAGGGGGGCAAGCCGGAUGCAGCGCCGCCGCGGGGGGGAUGACGGCCUUCGGGUUGUAAACCUCUUUCAGCACCGACGAAGCGCAAGGGACGGGAGGUGCAAAAGAAGGACCGGCAAACUACGUGCCAGCCGCCGCGGUAA